CAGUGGGGCCGUGGCGCUCGCCGGAGCGGCUUCGCUGGCGUCACGUAACAUCCGCUCUGGCUGAAGAGCGGCUCUGCGGCGCAUGCGCCGGGUGUGGCGCGCGAGCGAGGGAUGUCGGACUGCAAGUGGCCGCUCCCCUGCGCCGGCCCCGACUGCUGCGCGGCUGCUGGGACUUGAGGGGAGCUGCCCUGUGCCCGGCUCCGCCUGCUGGUGCCCAGUUCCGGCCCUGGGUUCCCCGCGACCCGCAGUCCUGAGCUGAGCCGCGGCGAAGUGGGGCCUCGCGUAACCUUUGCCAAGCGGCGGAGCGGGAGGGCGGCUGCCCGCGCCGCUGCCCCAAGUGCGAGGAACCCCGGAGCGUCCAGAGCGAUUAGGCACGAGCUCGGGCCGUCAGGCAAGGAGCCGCGUGCUUGAGGCCCCGAUUGCCAGCCCAGUGCUCAGCCCGGGGCUAACGUGCUGCUCUCCACCGCCUUCUGGAUCCCCUAACGCAGGUAUGUCCAAGAGCGACUUCCACUGCCUUUAGAUACUCCAGUCCACAAGGUCCAAAUUGGAGACAAGGUUUUGGUCCGAACGUGGAAAGACGAGCCUCUUCAACCCAAGUGGAAGGGACCGUAUCCCGUGAGCCUCACCACUCAUACGGCAGUGAAGGUCCAAGGGGUAAAGCCGUGGAUCCACUAUACCAGGGUAAAGGCCGCACAGGAAGUUUCUUCCUAGGGAGCAGUUGCUGAGAGUGUUGCACUGGAAGCCGACACAAACGGACAUCGUUGGAUAGCAGAGCAUGUGGAAGGACUUAGAUUCUUGUUUAAACGUCAGCCAUGUGGAAAGUAGUUCUUUACCUAAGUCUAGGGUUUCUAGGGUCGGAGGGAUUGUUACAUCGAAAGUUUGAGAAAAACCAAAAUGUGUGGAUUUACUUGGCAAAAGAGGUGGUGAACACAACUCAUUUCUGUUUGGCUGGUGGAACGUCAGUUCAAGAUGUGUUUACCUCAUGCCUCAUAGGGGUGCCCACUCCAUUAGAAACGCUCCAAAGUCAGAUUUGGCUAAAAAACUUCGACCUUUCAGGGUUUAAUCUCUGGAAUAUGGCCUAUGAGUGGGGACCCAUUACUCAGAAGAGAAACGUUAGUACCUUUUCGAUAGAUUUGCUAACUGUGACCUCACCUAGUAACACCAGUUGUGUUCAAUUUGUAAAUUGUACCAAAGUUUGUGAAAACCUAACCCGAGAGGAAGGGACUUUCAAUUGUUCAAACAAAACCACUUAUGGUACUGGUAAUGUCAUACUACCCUCAGGAUGGUUCCUCCUUUGUGGGAAAACCACUUAUUCGUACAUCCCAGCUAAUGCAACAGGGGGACCCUGUACUCUUGGCAGGUUAACUGUCUGGUUACCAAAGAUGUCUAAAACCUCCAACAGGCGCCACUGAAGAAGUUCUAGCCAGCUAGACGAGCCCUGUGAUAGUAACAUAAACCUCCUUAGUAAGGCCGAGGCAGUGUCUUUAGCAGUCUCUAUAGUAGGUUUACCAGCCCUGGCGGUAGGCAACCAUGGUCAGAUAAGCAAAGUGGCCUGCGCCUUAGCAAAAAGCCUGAACACGACCUUACAGGCCCUAGCUGCCCUCAGCACCGAGAUGAAAGAACUGCGGGGGGCUAUGCUGCAGAAUAGGGCAGCCAUAGACUACCUGUUACUGAGACAUAACCAUGGGUGUGAAGAGUUUGAUGGGAUGUGUUGUUUCAAUUUGACAGAUAAUUCCAAGCUAAUAGAGUCAAAGGUACAGAAGUUGCAGGAUAUUCUGUCACAUAUUAAGCAAGAUGAUGGAUUUGAUUUUUCAUGGCUUACUUCUUGGCUUCCUAAUUUUUCAUGGCUAAAGUAGAUGUUCCUUUUAAUUGUAGCAGGUGUAUAUAUUUUCGUAAUGAUUUGUUGUGGAGUGCAAUGUGUACCUAUGUGCUGUGACUCACUCAAGAAGUUGAUACCUACCCCUGUCAACCGGGUGAUGUUCAUGAAACCUUCAGUCAUGGAUCCAAUCCAGAAGAAUCGAGAAGAAGCAAAACGGUUUUUGAGGCUAAAAGGAAUGGUCGAGGACUAUGGUCCCAUUUCAUAGGGUCGUAGCCUCAAAGGGGGGAUUUGAUGUAGUCUUUUUUAUGGUAUAUCUAGCUUUUGCAAAUUAUAUCUAACUGAAUAUUUAAGGCAGCUUGCUGGUGCUGGGAGGGGUGUGGUAUAUGUAUGUUAAGGAAUGUUUGCCCGCUGGGAAAGAAAUGCCAUGUAGGCAAGCCCAGACAAGUCCGGACAUGUUCUGUGGCUAAGGUAAUAUGCGCAUGGGCUAAGAAAAGGCAGCCAAUAGUAACGGUACAGCAUGUUAAGUAGGAGAAAGCUAUAUAAGGCUGAAGCAAGCCAAAUGGGGUGGUGCCUGCUUUGCAAACUAUCGCCAAGCACCCCUCUCUGCGCAGACUUGAAACAAUAAAGAUUAAGUUGGAUCCUCCACCCCUGUGUGUUUAUUGGCAAAAGCGCACUGGGCACAAACUCACACUGUCCUUUGGGGACAUCAAUAUCAGCAAUAAAUGAAGAGUUUAGGUAAUGUAGGAGAUGAAAAAUUAUUUAAUAUUAAAAUACUGGUACUACAAGGAAAGGUAAAAUAAGUAAUUUAACUUAAAAAAAACAUACGGAUCAGUAACAAAAGCUAUAUUUAUUCCGUUAAGAAGCUUUGGAAAGUCAGAAAAGUAGAAAGGAGCAAGUUGAUUUACAGAAAUUCAAGUAUGCUUCUUUCCAAGAGGACAAGAAAAGUGAUUCUAGUAGUUAAAUUCCAGUAUCAGUUAACAAAACCUGUAAGUCUGGUCAGCACAAACGCAUAAUUAAAUAUUUUUAGUUGCCAUGGUAGCUGUAUUAUAAUUAAAAAUUGGCACAGAGUUCAAGUUUUAUACAUGUUUUAAACCUUUGUUUUGAAAAACCUUAAUGGCAAAAAAAUAUAAAAGAAACUGAGCACUGAA